rnacentral:lncRNA from 1 species
ACCAAACUAUAAUUGAAGCACACAAACCUAGUAUUAGUCGAUAUUAGUAGCCUACCAUUAAACCAGAACACGUUUUCCUCCCAUCCCCGAAUGUUGUGUGGAGUAGCCAGACCCUCCUUCAGGGCGCUUUGGAGGAGGGAUAACCCUUGACCCAAAGACGACUCUGCGACAUGUCAGAGGCAGGACUGAAUGCCACACAGCAGUCUCCGUCCUUAGGCAAUGAUCAUCCGCGGCACUAUCCACUCGCCGUAGGCCGGAUACACAAACAAACACACGGUUCCUGUGUCCCGUUGCUAACUUACAGCUAGCUUAUGCUAACGUCUGUACAGUUGGUACUGUGGCUGUUUUGGGGGCGAACAAACAAACGAGCCUGCGGUCACAUUCACCGGAAUGAUGCUAGGCGAAAAGUAUGAAUCGCUGUGAGAAGGAAUAUGGCGUUUUAUAUCGGUUUUGUUUGUGUUUCUGCAAAUAGACGGUUGCAGGUAGCUGGUGUUGACACGGUCCGUGGGAGCUGGACGUCUGCAGAUGAGUGCAGAGUUUCCGGACCACAACGGAGAAGUUCCUUCACUCCAUUCAUGCCUUUUUCAUACCGUACUCACUGUAUACUCAUAGUAUUGUAUGCCAUGAAAAAAAUUAAUAAAAAAGUAAGUGAAAG